rnacentral:rRNA from 1 species
CUUGCUAAGGCCGAUGGCGACCGGCGCACGGGUGAGUAACACGUAUCCAACCUGCCGUCUACUCUUGGACAGCCUUCUGAAAGGAAGAUUAAUACAAGAUGGCAUCAUGAGUUCGCAUGUUCACAUGAUUAAAGGUAUUCCGGUAGACGAUGGGGAUGCGUUCCAUUAGAUAGUAGGCGGGGUAACGGCCCACCUAGUCUUCGAUGGAUAGGGGUUCUGAGAGGAAGGUCCCCCACAUUGGAACUGAGACACGGUCCAAACUCCUACGGGAGGCAGCAGUGAGGAAUAUUGGUCAAUGGGCGCAGGCCUGAACCAGCCAAGUAGCGUGAAGGAUGACUGCCCUAUGGGUUGUAAACUUCUUUUAUAAAGGAAUAAAGUCGGGUAUGUAUACCCGUUUGCAUGUACUUUAUGAAUAAGGAUCGGCUAACUCCGUGCCAGCAGCCGCGGUAAUACGGAGGAUCCGAGCGUUAUCCAGAUUUAUUGGGUUUAAAGGGAGCGUAGAUGGAUGUUUAAGUCAGUUGUGAAAGUUUGCGGCUCAACCGUAAAAUUGCAGUUGAUACCGGAUAUCUUGAGUGCAGUUGAGGCAGGCGGAAUUCGUGGUGUAGCGGUGAAAUGCUUAGAUAUCACGAAGAACUCCGAUUGCGAAGGCAGCCUGCUAAGCUGCAACUGACAU